rnacentral:rRNA from 1 species
AUUGAACGCUGGCGGAAUGCUUUACACAUGCAAGUCGAACGGCAGCACGGACUUCGGUCUGGUGGCGAGUGGCGAACGGGUGAGUAAUGUAUCGGAACGUGCCCAGUCGUGGGGGAUAACGUAGUGAAAAUUACGCUAAUACCGCAUACGAUCUAUGGAUGAAAGCGGGGGAUCGCAAGACCUCGCGCGAUUGGAGCGGCCGAUAUCAGAUUAGGUAGUUGGUGGGGUAAAGGCCCACCAAGCAAACGAUCUGUAGCUGGUCUGAGAGGACGAGCAGCGACACUGGAGCUGAGACACGGUCCAGACUCCAACGGGGGGCAGCAGUGGGGAAUGUUGGACAAUGGGCGAAAGCCUGAUCCAGCCAUUCCGCGUGCAGGAUGAAGGCCCUCGGGUUGUAAACUGCUUUUGUACAGAACGAAAAGGUUUCUACUAAUACUAGGAGCUCAUGACGGUACUGUAAGAAUAAGCACCGGCUAACUACGUGCCAGCAGCCGCCGUAA